rnacentral:rRNA from 1 species
GACGAACGCUGGCGGCGUGCCUAACACAUGCAAGUCGAGCGAGUGAAUCUCCUUCGGGAGUGAAGCUAGCGGCGGACGGGUGAGUAACACGUGGGCAACCUGCCUCAUAGAGGGGAAUAGCCUUCCGAAAGGGAGAUUAAUACCGCAUAAGAUUGUAGCUUCGCAUGAAGUAGCAAUUAAAGGAGCAAUCCGCUAUGAGAUGGGCCCGCGGCGCAUUAGCUAGUUGGUGAGGUAACGGCUCACCAAGGCGACGAUGCGUAGCCGACCUGAGAGGGUGAUCGGCCACAUUGGGACUGAGACACGGCCCAGACUCCUACGGGAGGCAGCAGUGGGGAAUAUUGCACAAUGGGGGAAACCCUGAUGCAGCAACGCCGCGUGAGUGAUGACGGCCUUCGGGUUGUAAAGCUCUGUCUUCAGGGACGAUAAUGACGGUACCUGAGGAGGAAGCCACGGCUAACUACGUGCCAGCAGCCGCCGUAACAC